rnacentral:rRNA from 1 species
GACGAACGCUGGCGGCGUGCCUAAUACAUGCAAGUCGAGCGCAGGAAAUCGACGGAACCCUUCGGGGGGAAGUCGAUGGAAUGAGCGGCGGACGGGUGAGUAACACGUAAAGAACCUGCCCUCAGGUCUGGGAUAACCACGAGAAAUCGGGGCUAAUACCGGAUGGGUCAUCGGACCGCAUGGUCCGAGGAUGAAAGGCGCUUCGGCGGCGCCUGGGGAUGGCUUUGCGGUGCAUUAGCUAGUUGGUGGGGUAAUGGCCCAACAAGGCGACGAUGCAUAGCCGACCUGAGAGGGUGAUCGGCCACACUGGGACUGAGACACGGCCCAGACUCCUACGGGAGGCAGCAGUAGGGAAUCUUCCACAAUGGACGAAAGUCUGAUGGAGCAACGCCGCGUGAACGAUGAAGGCCUUCGGGUCGUAAAGUUCUGUUGUAAGGGAAGAACAAGUGCCGCAGGCAAUGGCGGCACCUUGACGGUACCUUGCGAGAAAGCCACGGCUAACUACGUGCCAGCAGCCGCCGUAAAAC